rnacentral:rRNA from 1 species
GAUGAACGCUGGCGGCGUGCCUAAUACAUGCAAGUCGAACGAACAGACGAGUAGCUUGCUCCUCUGACGUUAUCGGCGGACAAGGGAUGAACACGUCGAUAACAACCCUAUCAGACUUGGUUAACAUCCGGAAAACGGAGCGACUACCGCGGAAUAUAUUGAACCUCAUGGUUCAAUAGUGAGAGACGGUUUUUCUGUCGCUGAUAGAUGGAUCCGCGCCGCAUUAGCUAGUUGGUAAGGUAACGGCUUACCAAGGCAACGAUGCGUAGCCGACCUGAGAGGGGGGUCGGCCACAAUGGUACUGAGACGCGGUCCAGAAUCCUACGGGAGGAAGCAGUAGGGAAUAUUACGGAAUGGGCGGAAGAAUGAUGGUGCAACGCCGCGUGAGGGAUGAAGGUCUUCUGAUCGUUGAAAUCUGUUAUCAGGGAAGAAGAAAUGUGUAAGUAACUAUGCACGUGUUGACGGUAGCUAAUCAGAAAGCCCCGGCUAACUACGUG